GCCGAGAUAGCUCAAUUGGCAGAGCAACUGUUUUGUAAACAGUAGGUUGUGGGUUCGAGUCCCUCUCUCGGCU
rnacentral:tRNA from 1 species